ACUUGGCUUCUCUAAGAGCGUUUAUAUUGUAUUAUAAAAUGAAUUAUAUUGAAAUGUAUGGACUUGAUAUUGAAAUAUAUGGACUUUGUAUACUAGAGAGUUUGUGAACCAGAUAAACUGAGGUUACAACCCCAAGUCUUCAGUUUGUUAGCCAUGUGUCUUUAAUCAGUAUUAUUCUAUAAAGUUCUCAGACUACUAUUUUCUCUUCUAUAAAAGGGACAAAUACCUCUCACUUUGGAUGACUGCUAUAAGAAAAGAGACAAUGAUUGUAGAGUCCCUGGUGUAGUGCCUCAAAUUUAGCACUGGAAAAAAUGAAAGCUCAUAUAUUGCCUUAUGCAAUUGAUCCUCUUAUUUGUGUUCUAUGCUAUAAAAGUCUAUCAAUAUUUGAUUAUAUGCCAUAAAAUUUCUGGGCAUGAUUCAGAGAUUAAGAGAAAAUAUCAAGAUAGCAUUACCUUUGGGGCAGGGAAAUCCACGGAGGAAAAGAAAAAAAAAAUACGAAGAAGGUAAGAGAGUAAGAAAGAUCAUAGUCAGGGAUUUUUUUGGUUGUAAGACAUAAAAGUCCAAUCAAUCUAGCUUAAACCAAGAUGAGUUUAUUAAAAAGACUCUCAGCUAUUAAAAAGGAUUUAGGGUCAGAAAAUGUGUAUGUACUUCAUGAAAAAAUGGAAAGUUGUCAACAAUUAGGGAGUAUUUGUUCUCUCUUAUGUUCUUGUUCUUGUUUUUGCUUUUACUUGUCACAUGGCCUCAUGUUUCUAAUUGUUUCUGAAUGUUUGUUACUUUGUUUUCUUCUGUCUGAAGUCUGAUUCUUUCUGCUUCCUCAUCAGCAUGAUUACACCCAAAUGACCACCCUAGUUCCUGACAUGUCAGUAUCUUUUUAGCUUUUGCUGACUCUCAGUACUGCGAUUCUUAGUUCAAGUUCACAAGUGAGUGGAUCUGAUGGGACUAGUAAAAGGGGCACAUGUCCACCUGCAAUCCAAUCAGCUUAUAGCCAAGGAGGAAGGAGGUCAUGUGAUAUAAACAACUGGGACUGUAGAGUGAAGAGGCAGCUCUCAGACAAGAGGGCAUGAGCUGGGCAGGCACCCUAAAAUUUGUUGAUGACAAACAAGCCAAAUACCUAGGAUGGCUUUAAUUGAGAGUUGGCUGCUGAGGAACAGUUUGGAAAAGUACCUUAUGGCAAAGAUCAUGUGUGUGUUUGUGUGUGCAUGUGUGCGUGGGUAAUGGGGGUGGAGAAUCAGGCGAGAGAGAACAGAAUGUACUUUAUAGAAACAAGGCCUAAACAGGAAGGAAACUAAUCUUCCAGAUACCAAAAAUGGAUCUAAGAACAGUAGCUUCUCCUAGGGCUGGAGGAUGGAAAUCGUUUGGACUAUCCAGAAAACUGGAUCCUGGAGGAGGACAGGAUCUAUAAGAAAAGCCUUCUGAUUCAAGAAGGAUAGUCCUAGUUUCAACACGUACUGGAUUUAUGACUUGGGGUGAGACAUACCAUUAAGGACUUUUCCCCCCAUGAAAAUGGCAUAUAAAACUUUCUAUCAGUGAGUGCCCUGGAAUCCAGUGAUGCCAUUACACAACUGAGAAUAUAAUGUGUCUACUCUUCUGUCAAGCUUUGCAUCUUUUCCUUUUGGACGGAAUCCUUUCUGCACUGUUAGUCCUUCCAUGUGAUUUGAGUGAGACUGACCCUGCCUACCAACCCAGGGGUGGCCAACCAGAGUACUCUAUUUCCUGGCUACAAUGAUUGACUUAGUGAGGAGUCUGUGAUCCCAGAAGGUCUGCUGGAGUUUGCUGGAGGUCCACUCCAGAUCCUGUUUUCCUGGGUAUCACCAGCAGAGUCUUCAGAACAGCCAAGAUUGUUGCCUGUUCUUUCCUCUGGAAGCUUCGUCCCAGAGGUGCACCUGCCAGAUGCCAGCCAGAGCUCACCUG
rnacentral:lncRNA from 1 species